CCCCAUUUUUUUUCCUGUCUUUCCCUUCCUUUUUUUCAUUUCCUUUCAGGUUUGUAGAGCCCCAAGUUUUGAAACAACACACUCUCUCUCUCUCUUUCACGGAGGCGAGCAGCGAGCAGCGAAUUUUGGUUUGGACAAGCGACCAGCAGGACCAUGAUUCUCGACAAGGGUCGGCUUCUCGAGACCAAGCAAAUGUUCUGCGACGCCGGUGAGCAGUGGCCUGUUAUUAUCCCCGAGGAGGAGAUCUGCCAAGCAGCCCCUAGUACUAAGUCAACAGGGUCAUUCUUCCAUGAGAAGUGCAUAACUAUUGGGAGUUUAUUGGGUCUCAUUCUGUAACUUUGUUGAAGGCAACCACUACAUGGUACACCUAUUGGUUAUGUUACUCUUUGAUCUAGCUUUACAAUUUCAAGUCACCAAAUAGUCUUUGAACUGUUUGUUAAAAUGUCUGACCCAAAAAUGUUUAUUUUGAAAUGAUAAAGAAUUACAAAUGCUAUAUGCUGAUCAAGUCACCUAUUGGUUAUGUUA